GUGGGGAAUAUUGGACAAUGGGGGCAACCCUGAUCCAGCAAUGCCGCGUGUGUGAAGAAGGCCUGAGGGUUGUAAAGCACUUUCAGUGGGGAGGAGGGUUAUUCGGUUAAGAGCUAGAUAAUUGGACGUUACCCACAGAAGAAGCACCGGCUAACUCCGUGCCAGCAGCCGCGGUAAUACGGAGGGUGCAAGCGUUAAUCGGAAGUAUUGGGCGUAAAGGGUGCGUAGGUGGUUAGAUAAGUUAUCUGUGAAAUCCCCGGGCUCAACCUGGGAAGGUCAGAUAAGACUGUUUGACUCGAGUAUAGGAGAGGGUAGUGGAAUUUCCGGUGUAGCGGUGAAAUGCGUAGAGAUCGGAAGGAACACCAGUGGCGAAGGCGGCUACCUGGCCUGAUACUGACACUGAAGCACGAAAGCGUGGGGAGCAAACAGGAUUAGAAACCCGGGUAGUCC
rnacentral:rRNA from 1 species